UACGGGGGGGGCAAGCGUUGUUCGGAAUUACUGGGCGUAAAGGGCGCGUAGGUGGUUUGCUAAGUUGGAUGUGAAAACUCUGGGCUUAACUCAGAGCCUGCAUCCAAAACUGGCAAACUUGAGUACUGGAGGGGAAAGCGGAAUUCCUGGUGUAGCGGUGAAAUGCGUAGAUAUCAGGAGGAACACCGGUGGCGAAGGCGAGUCUCUGGACAUUUCCUGACGCUGAGGCACGAAAGCCAGGGGAGCAAACGGG
rnacentral:rRNA from 1 species